AUGUCUAGGUAUGUAUGUCUGUCAGUAUGUAUGUUAUUAUGUAUGUAUAUAUGUCUGUAUGUCUGUCAGUAAGUAUGUUUGCCAGUAUCAAUGUAUGUAUAUAUGUAUGUCUGUGUGUGUGUGUGUGAAUGGAUGUCUGUAUGCAUGUAUGUCAUUAUGAAUGUAUGUGUGUAUGGAUGUCAGUGUCUGUAUGUCUGUCAGUAUGUCUGUAUGCAUAAAUGUAUGUGUGUAUGUAUGUCGGUG